CUACGGGGGGCACCAGUGAGGAAUAUUGCACAAUGGGGGGAACCCUGAUGCAGCAACGCCGCGUGGGGGAUGACGCAUUUCGGUGUGUAAACUCCUUUUAUAUGUCAAGAAAAUGACGGUAGCAUAUGAAUAAGCACCGGCUAACUCCGUGCCAGCAGCCGCGGUAAUGCGGAGGGUGCAAGCGUUACUCGGAAUCACUGGGCGUAAAGGACGCGUAGGCGGGUUGGAAAGUCAGGUGUGAAGUCCUACAGCUUAACUGUAGAACUGCACUUGAAACUUCUAAUCUAGAGUAUGGGAGGGGGAGAUGGAAUUAGUGGUGUAGGGGUAAAAUCCGUAGAUAUCACUAGGAAUACCUAAAGCGAAGGCGAUCUCCUGGAACAUUACUGACGCUAAGGCGUGAAAGCGUGGGGAGCAAACAGGAUUAGAUACCCCCGUAGUC
rnacentral:rRNA from 1 species